rnacentral:ncRNA from 1 species
AGGAGCGGAGUGCAGGGAAACUUGCACGCUCCGUUCUGGAGCAGCGGUAGACGGAGCGAUCCGUCUAUCGACUGUAAC